AUAGAUAUAUACCAACAUAUAUGCGUAUACAUGCAUACAUAUAUACAUACAUACAUAUAUCACAAGGCAAUCGCGUCACCUUUUUUAUAUUUAGGAAAUCAUCAACCAUUAAUAAUCAAAUUUUAGCCAACGAUGUAACAUUUUAGACGUAGUUGAUACACGCAACUAACAAGUAAGCUAACAACUAUCGCAAGCAGAACAAAGUAAUUACGUUAAAUCUCUAAAUAUUAUUAUUAAAUAGUACCGCUAAACUGAUAGUAGUAAAUAGUAUGUAUGGUUUUAUUAAAAAUAUGAACACACAAAUAUGAAAAGUUUGUAAAAAUUAGUGUAAACAUGAGUCUUGUUUAAUAAUAAAAAUAGAAUUUGAAAUUGUAUCUUCAAGCCUUUCGCGUAUUACUGUAAUUAACGGAUCUUUCUCUUGCCAGUUAUAUCUGGUUAUUCGUCGAUCGAUCAUUAUGGUACAUUGAUGUUUCGCAUCGUAAUUGUACUUAUCAAAUGGACGUUACUUUGCCUUCUAGUCUUUAAACGUGUUCAAUAUUGGCGAAAUAUAUUCCGAAAUAUUUUCUGACAAUUUCUGAAUAUUAAACUGUAUCGAGCUACAAACGUUAGUUUAUGCUGUUUAUAUUUGUAUUUUCUUAAUUUAAAGGUUAAAGAUACUUGAUAAAUGAACUCAUUAGUUAUACUCAAAAUGAUAAAACAAUAGGAAAAAGUAGGGGUACCAUCGAUGAUAACAAAAGAGCGUAUAGAUUAUGCAGGUAUAUCCAUAAAAUAUACACUUGAAAAGAUAUAUACUUACACGAUAUUUCAUACAUGCAUGUAGUUUCAUUUACCUUAUAUAAAUACCUUUAAAUUACCUUGUUCGAAAGUAUUAUCGUACUUGAGGUUUUCUUGGAAUUGGCUAUUCUGCUUUAUUAGAUAGAAUAUUUUUCAACACAACGAUCUAAAUAAUUAAUAAGAUCCGUUCCAUCUAGUUGGAUUAUAUUUCAGUUUAUUUUAUGGAAUUAUGUAUGUUCUUCUGUGCGCUCUUAUCGUUGCAAGAUUGAACGGGCAAUUUAUUAUGCGAUUAACUGCAUAACGAAAUAUUAGCAUCAUCAAUCAGACGCAGUUAUCGACUUGUUCAUUUUCAUCGACUUAAUUAAAAAAAA
rnacentral:misc_RNA from 1 species